rnacentral:rRNA from 1 species
GAUGAACGCUGGCGGCGUGCCUAAUACAUGCAAGUCGAGCGAACGGACGAGAAGCUUGCUUCUCUGAUGUUAGCGGCGGACGGGUGAGUAACACGUGGAUAACCUACCUAUAAGACUGGGAUAACUUCGGGAAACCGGAGCUAAUACCGGAUAAUAUUUUGAACCGCAUGGUUCAAAAGUGAAAGACGGUCUUGCUGUCACUUAUAGAUGGAUCCGCGCUGCAUUAGCUAGUUGGUAAGGUAACGGCUUACCAAGGCAACGAUGCAUAGCCGACCUGAGAGGGUGAUCGGCCACACUGGAACUGAGACACGGUCCAGACUCCUACGGGAGGCGGCAGUAGGGAAUCUUCCGCAAUGGGCGAAAGCCUGACGGAGCAACGCCGCGUGAGUGAUGAAGGUCUUCGGAUCGUAAAACUCUGUUAUUAGGGAAGAACAUAUGUGCAAGUAACUGUGCACAUCUUGACGGUACCUAAUCAGAAAGCCACGGCUAACUACGUG